UAUUCUGCCCCAUGGGGAAGGAUGAGAAGCUUCGACUAAGGUUCGACUCGAGCGAAGCGAGAGAACGUUGCCGCAGGCAACGGCCCGAAGGGCGAAGCGCUUUAGCGCCGAGUAAUCCUUCCCCCACCACUG
rnacentral:sRNA from 3 species